CCCCCGUGAAUCAGCUGAUCUCGCGGUGUUGUUGGGUUACAGGCUCGCGGAGGAUGCAGACCACGGCGCUGCUGGUGGAGCGUCAGGUCUAAUUUAGAUGCUUUUACAAAGAGGAAAUGAUUUGGUGAUGGAGUGCUCCCACUGACCGAUGGACUCAAAGAAGGGAAGCUCACCAAAGGCAGAAGGAUCCAAAGAAAGAGGCCUGGUCCAUGUCUGGCAGGCGGGAUCCUGCUCUGUAACCCCAGAGAGAUUGCCCGGCUGGGGAGAAAGGACUGUUCUUCAGGCGGCCCUGGGAGUGAAGCAUGGAGUUCUUCUGACGGAAGAUGGGGCAGUGUACAGCUUCGGCGCCCUCCCCUGGCGAAGUGCCCCGGCAGAGGCCUGUCCCAGCAGCCCCGUCCUCGAACAUGCCCUGGCUGGACAGUGUGUCGUCGCUGUGGCAGCGGGCAGUUUCCACAGCGGCGCGGUGACAGAGGGCGGCGUGGCGUACAUGUGGGGGGAGAACUCCGCUGGCCAGUGCGCCGUCGCCAACCAGCCGCGGGUUCCGGAGCCCAGCGCCGUCAGCAUUGCUGACUCCGAGACCAGUCCUUCGUUGGCAGUCAGGAUUGUGCAGUUGGCAUGUGGCGAGGAGCACACGCUGGCAUUGUCGAUCAGCAGAGAGAUUUGGGCAUGGGGUACCGGUUGUCAGUUGGGUCUCAUGACCACUACCUUCCCAGUGACAAAGCCACAGAAGGUGGAGCACCUUGCCGGGCGUGUAGUGCUCCAGGUGGCCUGUGGCGCGUUCCACAGCUUAGCGCUCGUGCAGUGCCCCCCUUCUCAGAAGCCAGUCCCGGAACGAUGCAACCAGUGCAGCCAGCUCUUGAUCACUAUGACUGACAAAGAAGACCACGUGAUUAUAUCGGACAGUCACUGUUGCCCACUCGGUGUGACCUUGGCGGAAUCCCAGGCAGAAAACCAGGCGAGCACUGCCAUCAGCCCCUCCACGGAAACCCGGGACAGCCUGGGAGAGGUAUUUGAGAGCACGGGUGUACAGCAUGACCUGGCUGUCGCUAACAAACUGAAUGUUGGCCAUGUCCAUACCACGAGUGGCAAUGCCAUUCCCUCCCCACCGGACAUCAUAGGAACAACAGAAACAUCUGCUGGAAGCAUACCCUCAGACCCUGCUGCUCCGGCAGGGAGUGAACUCGCGCAGAAACUGUCAGACCCCUCAACGAGAGAGAACUCGGAGAACCAUGAAAAGCCAGUGCCAUCCCAGCCCCUUGUAGAAGAAGCAGUUCCUAAUCUUCACAGCCCACCAACCACAAGCACCUCAGCCCUAAACAGCCUCGUGGUCUCAUGUGCAUCUGCUGUUGGUGUGAGAGUAGCUGCUACCUAUGAAGCUGGGGCCUUGUCUCUUAAGAAAGUUAUGAACUUUUAUAGUACAGCCCCGUGUGAGCCUGGAGCUCAGGCAGGCGGCAGUUCCAUAGGCCCAGAAGGUUUGAAGGACAGCAGAGAAGAGCAGGUUAAACAGGAAUCCAUGCAAGGAAAGAAGAGUUCAAGUCUCGUGGAUAUCAGAGAAGAAGAAUCAGAGGGAGGCAGCCGCAGGCUCUCCCUCCCUGGAUUGUUGUCACAAGUGUCCCCCAGGCUGCUAAGAAAGGCUGCACGCGUGAAAACACGGACAGUGGUUCUGACCCCGACAUACAGCGGAGAAGCAGACGCGCUCCUGCCUUCCCUGAGAACAGAGGUGUGGACCUGGGGCAAAGGGAAGGAAGGGCAGCUGGGGCAUGGUGACGUCCUGCCCAGGCUUCAACCAUUGUGUGUAAAAUGUCUGGAUGGUAAAGAGAUAAUUCACCUAGAGGCAGGUGGCUACCAUUCCCUUGCACUUACUGCGAAAUCCCAGGUUUACUCAUGGGGCAGCAAUACCUUUGGCCAACUUGGGCAUUCCGAUUUUCCAACAACUGUUCCUCGUCUUGCAAAGGUAAAGAGUGACAAUGGAGUCUGGAGUGUAGCUGCAGGCCAGGAUUAUUCCCUGUUUUUAGUGGAUACAGAAGACUUCCAGCCUGGGUUAUAUUACAGUGGCCGGCAGGACCAUACAGAAGGUGACAACCUUCCAGAGAAUCCCAGUGGUACUAAGGCUCCAGUACUUCUCUCCUGUAGUAAGCUUGGAUAUAUAAGCAGAGUGGCAGCUGGAAAAGACAGCUAUCUAGCCUUGGUGGACAAGAACAUUAUGGGGUAUAUUGCCAGUCUCCAUGAGUUGGCUGCUACAGAAAGAAGGUUUUAUUCAAAACUAAGUGACAUCAAAUCUCAGAUUCUCAGGCCUCUUCUCAGUUUAGAAAAUUUGGGCACCGCAAGUACUGUCCAGCUGUUGCAAGAAGUGGCAAGCCGAUUCAGUAAGCUGUGUUACUUAAUUGGGCAGCAUGGAGCCUCACUGAGCAGCUUCCUUCAAGGGGUCAAGGAAGCCAGGAGCCUGGUCAUUCUGAAGCAUGCCAGUCUCUUCUUGGAUAGUUACACAGAGUAUUGUACAUCUAUUACACAUUUCCUGGUUAUGGGAGGAUUCCAGCUGCUCGCUAAGCCUGCCAUUGAUUUCCUAAAUAAAAACCAAGAGCUGUUGCAAGAUUUAUCAGAAGUGACUGAUGAAAACAUGCAGUUGAUAGAAAUACUGAAUACUUUGUUUUUCUUGCCAACUAGACGACUUCAUAAUUAUGCAGAAGUUUUGCUAAAGCUUGCUACUUGUUUUGAAGUGACAUCUCCAGAAUACCAGAAACUGCAGGAUUCCAGUUCUUGUUAUGAGUCUCUUGCUCUCCAUCUCGGCAGGAAAAGGAAGGAAGCAGAAUACACCCUGGGCUUCUGGAAGACCUUCCCUGGCAAAAUGACGGAUUCCUUAAGGAAGCCAGAGCGCCGGCUGCUGUGUGAGAGCAGUAACCGAGCCUUAUCUCUGCAGCAUGCUGGGAGGUUCUCUGUGAACUGGUUCAUUCUCUUUAAUGAUGCACUGGUCCAUGCCCAGUUCUCCACACACCAUGUUUUCCCUUUGGCCACCAUAUGGGCAGAGCCACUUUCUGAAGAAGCAGGUGCUGUGAAUGGUUUGAAGAUAACUACACCUGAGGAGCAGUUCACUCUCAUUUCAUCAACACCCCAGGAAAAGACUAAGUGGCUACGGGCUCUCAGCCAGGCUGUGGAUCAGGCCUUGAGAGGGGCAUCUGAACAUCCACCUUACGGAGGUGGCAGCAGCGUUCAGAGGCAGGAGCCGCCCAUUUCACGCAGUGCUAAGUACACUUUCUAUAAGGAUCCUCGCCUGAAGGAUGCCACCUAUGAUGGACGCUGGUUUUCAGGGAAGCCUCAUGGAAGAGGGGUUUUGAAGUGGCCAGAUGGAAAGAUGUAUUCUGGCAUGUUCAGGAAUGGCUUGGAAGAUGGGUAUGGAGAAUACAGAAUCCCAAACAAAGCACUGAGCAAAGAAGACCAUUAUGUGGGCCAUUGGAAAGAAGGAAAGAUGUGUGGUCAGGGAGUCUAUAGUUAUGCCUCUGGUGAAGUGUUUGAAGGUUGUUUUCAAGAUAACAUGCGUCAUGGUCACGGUCUCCUACGAAGUGGAAAACUGACUUCCUCUUCUCCCAGCAUGUUCAUUGGCCAGUGGGUAAUGGAUAAGAAAUCAGGAUAUGGUGUCUUUGAUGAUAUCACAAGGGGGGAAAAGUAUAUGGGAAUGUGGCAAGAUGAUGCAUGUCAAGGGAAUGGUGUGGUAGUUACCCAGUUUGGAUUAUACUAUGAAGGCAACUUUCACCUUAAUAAAAUGAUGGGAAAUGGGGUUUUGCUUUCUGAAGAUGAUACUAUCUAUGAGGGAGAAUUUUCGGAUGACUGGACUCUUAGUGGAAAGGGAACACUGACUAUGCCAAAUGGAGAUUACAUUGAAGGUUAUUUUAGUGGAGAAUGGGGAUCUGGCAUAAAAAUCACUGGAACCUACUUUAAGCCUAGUCUGUAUGAGAGUGAUAAAGACAAACCCAAAGUUUUCAGGAAACUAGGAAAUCUGGCUGUGCCGGCUGAUGAGAAGUGGAAAGCAGUGUUUGAUGAAUGUUGGCGUCAGUUGGGCUGUGAAAGUCCAGGCCAAGGGGAAGUCUGGAAAGCAUGGGACAACAUUGCUGUGGCCCUGACUGCCAACCGGCGCCAACACAGAGACAGUCCAGAGAUACUAAGUCGUUCACAGACUCAGACACUAGAGAGUUUGGAGUUCAUUCCUCAGCAUGUUGGUGCCUUCUCAGUGGAGAAAUAUGAUGACAUCAAGAAAUAUUUAAUAAAGGCCUGUGACACUCCUCUGCACCCCCUGGGCAGGCUCGUGGAGACACUGGUUGCCGUGUAUAGAAUGACAUACGUGGGCGUGGGAGCCAACCGCCGGCUACUGCAGGAGGCUGUGAAGGAGAUUAAGUCCUACCUUAAGCGGAUUUUCCAACUGGUGAGGUUUUUAUUUCCCGAGCUUCCUGAAGAGGGCAGCACCAUUCCUCUCUCGGCUCCCCUGCCCACAGAAAGGAAAUCCUUCUGCACUGGGAAGUCAGAUUCCAGAUCCGAGUCCCCGGAGCCGGAGCCGGGUUACGUGGUAACCAGUUCUGGGUUGCUGCUUCCUGUGCUCCUGCCUCGGCUCUACCCACCUCUGUUCAUGCUCUACGCCCUGGAGAACGACCGUGAGGAGGACAUUUACUGGGAGUGUGUUCUGCGACUAAACAAGCAGCCAGAUAUCGCCCUGCUGGGCUUCCUUGGGGUUCAGAGGAAGUUUUGGCCAGUGACCUUGUCAAUCCUUGGAGAGACUAAAAAGGUUUUGCCAACCACAAAAGAUGCUUGUUUUGCCUCAGCCGUAGAAUGUCUACAGCAGAUCAGCACAACAUUUACCCCAUCCGACAAACUGAAGGUCAUCCAGCAGACUUUCGAGGAGAUCUCUCAGGGCGUCCUGGCGUCUCUGCAGGAGGACUUCUUGUGGUCCAUGGACGACCUGUUUCCUGUUUUCUUAUAUGUGGUGCUACGGGCCAGAUUCAGAAGGAAGAUGUACACAUAAAUGAUUCAGUAUCUUUUUCUCAUUGGGCAGGAUUAGGAAUUUAGGCUCUGAGGUACAUCUCAUUGAGGAUCUAAUGGACCCAUACCUUCAGCAUGGGGAACAGGGCAUCAUGUUCACCACCUUGAAGGCAUGUUACUACCAGAUCCAGCGUGAGAAGCUUAACUAGGUUGCGUAACAGCUAACAACUGGAUUAUCUCCACAGAGUGUUAUAGCACCAUCUGGCACCUUCCUGUAGUGGCAAAAAAGAAUGGUCUUGAAAUUAGGAUGUUGUGUUAUUUUGGUCAUUUCUGAGCCUUACUAAUGAUCAGAGCUCUGAGCCCAGAGGAAGAGACUGUACAGUUUAAAGGGGAGAUCGAAAAGGAGGCAGAAUUCAGAUUGGACCAGUCCCUGGUCUAUGUUAAGUUCCCCAGCUCUCAUCUACAACGGUUUGGACAAAGAAGACAAGCCUUCCGUCCCUUCCUCAGCGUAGGCUGUGCUGCUCCACACGUCAGGAAGCCCUCUGGAGCUUCCUGCGUUAAGGAAGUUGAUGGAUAUUUUUGAGUCUCUGGUUUGCCUGCAGUUACCCCAGACCCUUUUGCAAGGAGCACAUUGUUCUCGAAACGACGGUAACCACACUAUGCCUUCCUGAGUUCCUUGCAAACCAGGGUGCAUUCUGCUGCUUUGCUGAGUGAGACAGGGGCAAGAGGAACUUUUAAACUGCAGUUUUAACUUUUUCUAAGCUUUUCCACCAGGGUAUUCAUCAUGGGAGAGAGGUUCAAAAUAAUGACCAACAAAUUCCAACCCUAAGCAAGGACCGUGUCCAAACAGGAGUAUUUGCCUCCUGAGUAAAAGAACACGGGAAUUUUGUCCUUGGUUUCCUUCCAAUGAGUGCCACAGAGUGAAUACACUGGACUCCACACUGACUCUGAGCUGCUGCGGAUCCUCCCCUGUCCGCAGGCAAAGGCUGAGCCCGAGGCCUGGGAAUGAGGUGAAGACUUUUGCAUGCAGGCUGCAGCGGAGCCAAGGCUGGGAGACAGGGAAGCGGAGACCUGCGUCCGUCCCUGACCUCGUGCUGUGCUUCCCUGCGCCUCCCAUGGGACUCGCAGGGGAAGGAAAAGGAAACGAGCUCGGCUUUUCCCAUCUGACACAUAUUGUGACACCUCAACGUCGUAGUGUUCUGCUUUUUUUUUUUUUUUAUGUUGUAAGCGGUGGUUUAUACUGUACAAGUAACACUAGUAGCUGUUUGGAUAACAUAGGUGCUCUUCCUCAUCUCAUCUGCACACGUGGGGAGCGUACGGAGUGUCCUCCUGAUUUGUUAAACAUCAGCAGAUGCUAACUUAAAACAGGAUCAUGGUUUCUGCUCUACUUUAUAAUCAAGACGAGUGUUUAUUAAAAUAUUGUUUUGGAAUGUUGGCUGUAAUGUAACAGCAAUUUUCAUAAUAAAAGACAUUCAUCUCUAUGAGGUUGUUUUGAUUGCAGAGGAAAUGACACAGGGCAGCCUGCAGUUAUAAAAAGCCAGGCUCCGUGUUUUGGUGCCCACAUUGUCAUCCGUGCCUCAGGCUCCUCGAGGGUCCUAGACAUCUCUCUCUCUAAAACAAACUAACUUAAUUAUAAUUAUGGCACCUUUAGUGACAAAGGUCAAAUUAUUAACCUUCUGAUCCUAUUAGCCUGAAGACAAGGGUCUUAAAACAAGUCUGUUAUUUCUUUGAAUAAAAGGCAUAUUUUGAUAGUUA